AAGAGCUCAAAUUUGAAAUCUGGCCCUCCGGCGUCCGCCUUGUAAUCUCUAGACGAAGUUUCCGUGGGGGGCUAUGGCCAAGUGCCUUGGAAGGGGAGAUCGUACAGGGAGAGAUCCCGUACUUGCCAUGGAUGUCCGCCGCUUUGCGAUACAUGCUCCCUCAAUCAAGUUGUUUGGGAUUGCUGCUCAAAAUGGUGGGUGGACUCCUUCAAAAGCUAAUAAUCGCGGAGAGACGAAUGGCAACCAACAACCGGAAGGAAAAAAUGAAAAGCACUUUGGAAAAAAAGUAAAAAGUACGUGAAAUUGUUGAAAGGGAAGCACUUGCAGUCAGCCAUGCCCCUCAGGACUCACCCUGCUUUUUGCUUGGCGUAUUUCCUGGGUAGGGGCGGGCCAUUGGCUUGGAGGGCGGGAGAAGCAUAGCCGCAAUGUGGCGCCCUCGGGCGGGUUAUCUCCUUCUAUUGGAUACAACGAUCUCCACCCAGAAACACGAACUGCCUUAUGGACGGUCUUCGGACUCCUGCUCGCUAACGAUGCUGAUGGAAUG
rnacentral:rRNA from 1 species